UCUUUAACCUAAACUGAAAUUCAAAGUAUCAACCCCAGAAUGUAAAUCUAUAGAAUUAUGAACUGGUGAUUUGAUAAAAAAUGCAAACAAUAUAUCAACAUCUAAAAUGUUGUCUUCUCUAAAGCACAAAUCUGAGCGUUACAGAAGCUUUUCAACUUUCACAAAAAAAUGGCUCUAUUUUGUUUCUGACGAGUCAAAAGUGCUGUUCGCCAACAAUGAAGUAUCAAUUAAGAUUUCUUCAUUCAAACUAUCAAAUCAAUCAAUUAAAUUUUAGCUUAAGAAAUGUUUCAUUACCAUUCUAAAUUUCUUUUUAAAAUCAUUGCUCCAAACCAAUCUUACCAUGACAUGUUUUGUGUUCGUACAUCCAUGUUGGAUCCGCCUCUCAUACACCCCAAGUUGCAAACACAACAUUGCCAACUUCUAAAUUAAGUUUGCAACAUGCUAUCAUUCCAUUAAGUUCCACUUUAAAUAAUUUACACAUUGCUUAUACAUAACACCCAAUCAGGAAAGAUUGCAAACUAGACACUUUGCCUUAAAUUCAUUUUUUUGAUGGUGAUAUUUUAUUGUCCCAGUCCAUACUCCACUGCCCACAAUUGCAUAAUGCAAUGAGUUUUGUUAAUGAUCCUAUGUUUGAAUAAUUUCUUUGUAAUAUCUAAAAAUUCACAUAAUAUAAUAAUAUUUUUUUAAGUUAUUGAAAUGAUCAUUGAUUAUAUAUUCCGAUUUUUUUAGAGUUGUGUAAAUAUGUAUCAAAGGUAAUACAUAUUAUUGUAUGCAACUUAAAUAGUUCCCUGAAUUAAGAUUUGCGAUUUCUUUGAUUUAUAAAAAAAUAAUAAUAAAUAAAAUAAAAAAUAAAACUAACAGUUUCAAUCAAAAGAACAAGAACCCUAUUCCAACAAUAAAAUAUGGUUAAGAAACAAAUCCCUGCUUGAACUUUAUUAUUUCAAUAAUUGUGAAUUAUUCAUAUACAUGUAUGAAUAUUAUAAAAACUAGUUUAUUUCCUAAACUAAAUUUAUGUGAUCAUCUCUUUACUAAUGUAUAAAAAAAUAAAUAGCAUAUAUAUAUAUUAAAUUUAGCAUAUCGUUUUUACUAUAAUCUAAAAAAUAUUAUAAAAAAUAUGUUUAUAAUUUAAAAACAUUAAAAUUUUUAAGAUAUUUUGAUGAUGUGAUCAAUUAUUUUUGGAUUGUACGUAUUUGAAAUCUAUUAUGCAAUAUUUGGCUGAUAUGAAAAUUACAUCGGUUACUUUAAUUUGUUUGUGUUGAAUUUAAUUUUGAUUAUAUGAUAGAAUUAUUUUAAGAAUAAAUCACUGUGAUUAUAGUAUGCAGACUUGUGACUCUGCACGUAAAAAAAUAAAAAAAUAAAAAAAUGAAAGGUAAAGAAUUAUGCCAAGAAGACAAAUCAAUACGACCUCAUUCAUCUCCUUCUUACUCUGUUAGCAAUGGGCACAGCAACUCUCAGGGUUUCGAAAUUGAAAACUAUGCUCUUCUGUUCAAAGAACAAGAUGAAGAUUUGGAAGGAUUAAGAGAAAGUGUAGAGCGAUUAGGGAAUAUGGGCAAAUCAAUAAAUGAAGAAAUUUCAAUCCAAGAAAGGCUCAUCGGUGAUGUGGAGCAUAAUAUUGAUACAACCACUACUCGCCUUCAUUUUGUACAAGUAAGACACAACUUUGAAAUAAUAAUUUUAUUUAAUACUUAAUACCUUCAAAGCCAAAAAAAUGGCUUGGUACAGGAAUUUUGUGUGAUUUUUAAUUUUGAUUCAAAAAUAACAGAUAAAUUAUCUUAAAACUCAAAUUGAUUUUACAUUGUUUGAUAGAAUUACUAACAAAAAAGGAUAGACACUUAGAAUUUUAGUAAUACUCAUAUUAUAUACUAUUUUUAAAAAUAAAUGCUUUGAUUUUUGAAAAUUAUCUAACCAUGCAGAAAAAGAUGGAGAUAAUGAUUGUAAAAGUAGGAAGUAAUGGACAGAUAUUCAUGAUUGUCUUCUUGAUUGUAUUAUUAAUUGUACUUGUAGUACUUAUAUUCUAUACAUAAAAUCAUGUUUCUGUAUACCCAAAAAUGGAAACUUUCAACAUAUCACAAGAAUGCUGAAUUCUUGUUGCACUAA